GGGCUCCCCGGCUUCCUGCCUCUCUGAAUUCCUCCUCCAGACCCUCAAGGCUCCCUGCUCAUUCCCUCUGGGGUCCUGAGGUCUCCAAGGGCCACUCUGGCUUCCCCCCUGCAGACCCACCCUCCUAGGGGAACAGGGUGACCCCACACAGACACUGAUGGGACAAGAGAACCAGCCCUGCAGAAAGCCUCCAGCGUGUCCAUGGGCCCAGUGCCUGGCGUGUCCUCCCUGGGAGCUUGCUGGACGCAUGACCAGGAUUCUGGGAGGGCAGAGGACAGACCACAGGCACCCAGGAUAACUCAGUACACAUGGGUUCUCAGCUUCCUGUUCACAGAGAAACCUCAGACAAGAAGCACGUCGCCCAUUUCUCAUCAAGGCCAACCCCAGACCACGAGAGCGCUUUCUCUGCGUCAGCCCCAGCACCCCAGCGCCCCUGCCUCCGGGCGCCCGCGGCCUCCGCACUCCAGUGGCCCAGACCUGGCUGAGGCAGCUCCCGUGGUAGAUCAAGCCUCACAGGCGGCUGGAAGAGCCAGUUCUGGGCUGGGCCUGUGGGAACAGGCGUCUGUUAGUCAGGGUUUCAGGAAUGCGGCCUUCGAAGCCUGAAGCGGGGAAUGGCGGCUCUGGGCCCUCAAGGGGCAGGCGGUGAGCCUGGGAGGCCAGGCCGGGCUGACCCAAGGGGAGAGGACCCUCUCCGCCCACUGCCGCUGGCCCUGGGCAGGUCUAGAGCCUGGGGGUCUCCAGAGGCACAAUCCCUUAUCUCCGGGAGAAGGCAGAGGGCAGAGGCAGGAAACAAAUCUCCUGUCAAAAUUCCUAAUUAAAAUACUAAGUAAGUGAUGGCUCCAGGCUGAAACACCGGACACUGAGAGAAUAAGGGAAAAUCAGCCCCGACAGCCAGGGCUAACAAGACGGUUAAUUACAGCCCGAGAAGAACGUUAACAGUAUUAAUUCUAACCACAAAGGAGGAAAAGAGAAGACCGCCUAAGAAGGAGAAGGAGGGUCCCUUUCCCAGAUGAGGCUGCCCUAACCACUGGGACCUCGGCCCCUCCCAGGCCUGAGGGAGCCCAGCUCUGCCUGGCCCCACCCAUCUCACACCAGCCCUGCCUGACCCGCCCACCUCACCCCAACCCUGGCUGGCCCCGCCCACCCUUGCCUCAGCCCUGCCCGGCCCCUCCCACCCUUGCCCAGCCCCUGCUUGGCCCCUCCCACUCGUCCCAACCCUUCGUGUCACCGCCAACCCUUGCCCCAGUCCGGCCCGGCCCCUCCCACCCUUGCCCCAGCCCUGCCUGGCCCCUCCCACCCUUGCCCCAGUCCGGCCCGGCCCCUCCCACCCUUGCCCCAGUCCUGCCCGGCCCCUCCCACCCUUGCCCCAGUCCUGCCCGGCCCCUCCCACCCUUGCCCCAGCCCUGCCCGGCCCCUCCCACCCUUGCCCCAGUCCUGCCCGGCCCCUCCCACCCUUGCCCCAGUCCUGCCCGGCCCCUCCCACCCUUGCCCCAGUCCUGCCCGGCCCCUCCCACCCUUGCCCCAGUCCUGCCCGGCCCCUCCCACCCUUGCCCCAGUCCGGCCUGGCCCCUCCCACCCUUGCCCCAGUCCGGCCUGGCCCCUCCCACCCUUGCCCCAGUCCGGCCUGGCCCCUCCCACCCUUGCCCAGCCCCUGCUUGGCCCCUCCCACUCGUCCCAACCCUUCGUGUCACCGCCAACCCUUGCCCCAGUCCUGCCCGGCCCCUCCCACCCUUGCCCCAGUCCUGCCCGGCCCCUCCCACCCUUGCCCCAGUCCGGCCUGGCCCCUCCCACCCUUGCCCCAGUCCGGCCUGGCCCCUCCCACCCUUGCCCCAGCCCCUGCCUGGUCCUGCCCACCUCACCCCAGCACUUCCUAUGGGACUCACGCCUUUGUCUCGGGCUUUUGGUUUUCAAAAUAAAUUAUAAGUUUUAAUAAAAUAAAGUACUAGAAAA
rnacentral:lncRNA from 1 species